rnacentral:rRNA from 1 species
GACAGAGGCCUCAGGCGUUAGGCGGAAUCACUGGGCUUAAAGCGUGUGUAGGCGGAUCGUUAAGUACCUUGUGAAAUCCCACGGCUCACCCGUGGAACUGCUGGGUAUACUGGCGGUCUUGGGCCAACUAGGGGCAGCUGGAACAAGCGGUGGAGCGGUGAAAUGCGUAGAUAUCAAGAGGAACACCAGUGGCGAAGGCGAGUCCCUGGACAACACCUGACACUGAGGCACGAAAGCUAGGGGAGCAAACAGG